AUUGAACGCUGGCGGCAGGCCUAACACAUGCAAGUCGAACGGUAACAGGAAGAAGCUUGCUUCUUUGCUGACGAGUGGCGGACGGGUGAGUAAUGUCUGGGAAACUGCCUGAUGGAGGGGGAUAACUACUGGAAACGGUAGCUAAUACCGCAUAACGUCGCAAGACCAAAGAGGGGGACCUUCGGGCCUCUUGCCAUCGGAUGUGCCCAGAUGGGAUUAGCUAGUAGGUGGGUUAACGGCUCACCUAGGCGACGAUCCCUAGCUGGUCUGAGAGGAUGACCAGCCACACUGGAACUGAGACACGGUCCAGACUCCUACGGGAGGCAGCAGUGGGGAAUAUUGCACAAUGGGCGCAAGCCUGAUGCAGCCAUGCCGCGUGUAUGAAGAAGGCCUUCGGGUUGUAAAGUACUUUCAGCGGGGAGGAAGGGAGUAAAGUUAAUACCUUCGCUCAUUGACGUUACCCGCAGAAGAAGCACCGGCUAACUCCGUG
rnacentral:rRNA from 1 species